CAGCCGCCGCGGUAAUACGUAGGGGGCUAGCGUUGUCCGGAAUUAUUGGGCGUAAAGCGCGCGCAGGCGGUCCUUUAAGUCUGAUGUGAAAGCCCACGGCUCAACCGUGGAGGGUCAUUGGAAACUGGGGGACUUGAGUGCAGGAGAGGAGAGCGGAAUUCCACGUGUAGCGGUGAAAUGCGUAGAGAUGUGGAGGAACACCAGUGGCGAAGGCGGCUCUCUGGCCUGUAACUGACGCUGAGGCGCGAAAGCGUGGGGAGCAAACAGGAUUAGAUACCCUGGUAGUCCACGCCGUAAACGAUGAGUGCUAAGUGUUAGAGGGGUCACACCCUUUAGUGCUGUAGCUAACGCGAUAAGCACUCCGCCUGGGGAGUACGGCCGCAAGGCUGAAACUUAAAGGAAUUGGCGGG
rnacentral:rRNA from 1 species